GUCCUGUGGCUCAGUUGGUAGAGAAUUGCGCUGACAAUGCAAAAGUCAUGGGUUCCAAUCCCAGCGAAGGCA